rnacentral:rRNA from 1 species
UACGAAGGGGGCGAGCGUUGUUCGGAUUUACUGGGCGUAAAGGGCGCGUAGGCGGCCAUUUUUGUCAGGCGUGAAAGCCCUGGGCUCAACCUGGGAACGGCGCUUGGGACGGGAUGGCUUGAGUUCGGGAGAGGAGCGUGGAAUUCCCAGUGUAGAGGUGAAAUUCGUAGAUAUUGGGAAGAACACCGGUGGCGAAGGCGGCGCUCUGGACCGAGACUGACGCUGAGGCGCGAAAGCGUGGGGAGCAAACAGG